rnacentral:tRNA from 1 species
UCCCCUGUGGCUCAGUUGGUAGAGCAUGGUGUUUGCAACGCCAGGGUUGUGGGUUUGAUUGCCACGGGGGGCC